rnacentral:lncRNA from 1 species
AUGGAAUUGUGACAAUGAAAUGGGCGAUUAGUCCAUGUCUGAUCUAUGCACCUAUUUUAUUUUCUGGCAAAUGGUAAUAAACCGAGAACUUUGUGCCUUGCAACCGUGGACGCGUGCAAUUCAACGUGUGAAGGGGCAUGUGAGCUCAGGUUUUUUUUUAUCUCAUGUGAGCUCAGGUUGCACCAACUUGGACGGAGAUUUUUCUUCUUCUUCUUCGUUUCACUUUCAGGGAACAAUAGUAACAGCAGGGGUCGUAGGGCUGCCUGGUGUGUGCCCUAGCCCAUAGGCACGGCGGCUGAGAAAGGAAAAAAUCUCGGAGCAGAGCGGCCCCUCCCGGCGCCCCGCACGCGAUGCGGGCCAAGCAGAAGCAGGCGGACGUCGACGCUUCUCAUCGGCGUCCCUGCCCGUCUCUAGAACCUUCGUUUCUAGAAUCCUUCGUCUCGCUCGCAGACAACAGACGCCAGUGGCAGCAAGCGCGCGCGGCAGCGCCGCAGGCAGCAUGACCCCAAGCGCUAGCUGUAGACCUUGUUGCCUAGCGGCGGUGCGCGGCGCCGGAUGGUUCCCCGCGGGCGCGCGGCCACACAUCCGCCGGGCCAGCCUCGGCCGCGGCCGUCGCCGUCGAUCGACAACGGGUCGGAAGCCAGCCAGCGCGCGUCGCCGUCCUCCGGCGGGUGCAGCGUCCGAGGCCGCGACGGGAACACGCUUCCGUGGCCAAGUCCUACUCGCUCGGGGGUAGCGAUAUAUUCCUAGGUGGCUUGUACAACGAGCGCGAUCGGGUAAACGGUCGGUGCCGCGUGUGCAAGUGGCCAAGCCGCCGGGCAACGAGAAUACCCGCCGCGCCCCUUGUCGUCUCCUCCAGCUAGCUAGGCUGCGCGGGCUCCGGGCGUGGUCGUCACGGCGGCGUGGCUCCGCCGAGUGGCAGCUGACACGCAGGCGGUGCCGACUGGCUUUGCUACCUUUGACUUCGUGAGCAAAAGUCACACCGUGGCAUGUGCUGUCAGCUCUAGAACAGUGAAGUUUUUUUCCUCCUCCCCUUCCGGUGGUCCGUACGGGCGACUGGUGAACUGGCAGCUUAGACUUCCGUUGGCGUAUUUUCGAGGGUGGUCGAUCGUAAUUCUGCUCUGGAGUACAUUUUAUUGGAUUGUGCUAAUUUCUUUAUCUAGAAGAAUUCAACUUGAGUUCACAAUAAGAGUUCGAAAGGAUUUUCCUUUUUAGACCGUAAAGGCCAGUGCUAGAAUGAGAUAUCAAAAUGGAUAACUUGUCACGUAACGGUUGCCUACCUUCAUGAUUGUGCCAUCGUGGUUCCCAAAAACUAAUGCAUGCCGAAUUUGACUACACGUCAGAAAGCUGAAACCCAAC